AUUGAGUAAUUUUAUAUAUUUUCAACGCUUUGAAUCUAUUAAAAUGCAGUUAAUAAAAUUAUUUUUCCACACAGAUGUUCUGUCUGGAACCUUUGUGUUUGCUCGUUUCUGGUACACCGGUAAAUCUGACGCACAUAAAACACCAAACAACAGCGAUGGACGACAAAGCGGCUCCUCUCGGCCCGCUGAAAAGAAAAGAAAAGAUGUCACCAACCCAGGGAGAUCAGAGCAGUCGCAAACUGAGCCUCCAUUUGGGCUGAUGGCAGGCCUAUUAAAUGCACGCAUCCACAGCGGUUUCUUUCUAGUGAUCUGAAGCAGUGGAAACUGUGAGCCAUAAAACUGUCCACAGAAAGCAGCUUUACUCAGGCUGAACGAUGCAUUUGAUCCCAGAGAGACGAAGGCAAAAAGGUUGCUGCGCUCAGAUUGCUCGAACAUGAGCGGAGAGAUUUAUGGGCCAGAACCGGGAUGUGGACUUCCACAGAAAUGCAGUGAAGUUCCUGACUCAUGAGGGAGACGCUUUGGGAUGUCUGAACGCUGCGUGAACCGCAAAAUUAAAAAAUAAGAAUAAA